UACAGAGGGUGCGAGCGUUUGUCCGGAAUCACUGGGCGUAAAGGGUGCGCAGGCGGCCAAGUGUGUUAGGCGUGAAAGCCCGGGGCUUAACCCCGGAAUUGCACCUAAAACUACAUGGCUAGAGCAUUGGAGAGGGUAGCGGAAUUCACGGUGUAGCAGUGAAAUGCGUAGAUAUCGUGAGGAACACCAGAGGCGAAGGCGGCUACCUGGACAAUUGCUGACGCUCAGGCACGAAAGCGUGGGGAGCAAAAGGG
rnacentral:rRNA from 1 species